UUUCCUGCCAUUCUGUCAUUGUUGUGUCACAGAAGACAAACUGAAAUGGUAACUAAGCUCGGCGUGCUACUCCUGCUUGUUACUCUGAGGCUGAUCAGCGGCUUCCAGGUGAUACAGCCUCAGACGCAGCAGAUGAAUCGCGAUCGAUCUGUCACGAUCGCCUGUGAGCUGAAAGGCUGGGACUCGACAUGGGGCAUGGAUGCCAAGCUGAGAGCAAACGCCAGCAAAGCGGUGGUCUGCAGGCUUCUCAGCAACCUGACGUCUUACAACUGCAGCUGGAGGAGGGACAGGAGCGAUCGCAUCCUCUUCACCCUCUUCGACCUGAAACCGGAUGAUCAGGAGCUGUACAAAUGCGAGGUCUCCAGGAUGAUACCCCCUCCUGUCAAAAUAGAAGAGGGAGAUGGCACCCAGCUGUUCUCAGGUCAGUUUGCUCUCCUUUCACUCAUUAAUUAUCCCAUCAGAGGCCCAUCAUUUUUCAUUACGAGGGACAGCAGCUGUGUGAUAUAUCUUCACCUUUGUAACCGUAGAGCAAUGACUUUUGAAGAGCAAUUAUGAAGGCAGCAAGGAAGAGAAGUCAAUGGUUUGUGGAAGAAUGUGGCCUCUGCUUGAACAUGCUCAGAUAUGCUGAUGGUGUGUGUCUCUUAGGACCAGAAACAUAAAAACCACUCCUGACCGUAUGUGUUUGCGUCUCUCAGAACCCGAACAAUCCUUGGCCCCUUUCACUCCUACCACCCCAUUGAAAAGUGAUUGUCCAGAUUCCAGCCUGUUAAACUGGAUACUGAUUGGACUAUUGGCUUUUCUCUUUCUCACCUGCCUCACCAUCACCUGUGCCUAUGUAAGACUUAAGAUACAGCAGGGAAACGAGACGGAUGACUCACUGACCUAUGUGCCAAUGCAGCCUCCUCAAGCCCAGAAUGGCAGCAGGGUAUGUCUGAAGAGGGGUGACCCAGAGAGCAACACAACCUACAUGGACAUGAGGAAAAUGGCUGCAAAUGGCAGGGCCUCGGGAAGAGACAUGAACUACAAUUCCCAUCAGGCUCUUCACUGAUUCCACCAGACUUGAACUACAACUCCCAUUAGAUUCAGGGCUGUUUCUCACCGGAACAAUGGAAAAUUAAACACUUGGUGACAGAAUACUUUUUCUUUUUGGAGGCAUCACUUUGUCGAGUUGUCAUCACACGGCACUAUACGGCAUACGGGUAACUGGUUCUUUUUUUUGGGAAAUGAACAGCACUUUUAUGAUGACGUUUGCAUUUUUGAUUUAACACUGGGAUUCAAAGAUGCAUGGCAAGAGAGAUAUGAUAAUCAGCUAAAACCAGACUGACAGUUUUGUCAAUGUUUGUACAUUGUACACGCUGAGAAGGAGACAAGUGACGAUACUAUUGGAUUCAAUAUGUAAAAUAUAUGCUGAUGUGAUCAUUUGCUGGGAUAUGUAAAAGUGCAACAAC